UACGGAGGGGGCUAGCGUUGUUCGGAAUUACUGGGCGUAAAGCGCACGUAGGCGGCUUUGUAAGUUAGAGGUGAAAGCCCAGGGCUUAACCCUGGAAUUGCCUUUAAGACUGCAUCGCUCGAAUUGUGGAGAGGUGAGUGGAAUUCCGAGUUGUAGAGGUGAAAUUCGUAGAUAUUCGGAAGAACACCAGUGGCGAAGGCGACUCACUGGACACAUAUUGACGCUGAGGUGCGAAAGCGUGGGGAGCAAACAGG
rnacentral:rRNA from 1 species